rnacentral:RNase_P_RNA from 1 species
GUGGUCGCUGCCGAAUCCGCGAGAGCGUUCGGGAGAGGAAAGUCCGGGCUUCACAGAGCAGGAUGCCUGCUAACGGCAGGUUGCGGUGACGUACAGGAAAGUGCAACAGAAAACAAACCGCCAGUUUUACUGGUAAGGAUGCAAAGGCAGUGUAAGAGACUACCGCGCUUCUGGUAACAGAAGUGGCAGUGUAAACCCCAUUCGAAGCAAGACCAAACAGAAGGCAUAUGGCUGCUCGUCAGCCUUCGGGUAGGUUGCUUGAGGCGUAUGGCGACAUACGUCCUAGAUAGAUGACCACUUGAAACAUAACCCGGCUUAUUAUGAUA